CGUGACGGCGCGAGCAGGUGCGAAAGCAGGUCAUAGUGAUCCGGUGGUUCUGAAUGGAAGGGCCAUCGCUCAACGGAUAAAAGGUACUCCGGGGAUAACAGGCUGAUACCGCCCAAGAGUUCAUAUCGACGGCGGUGUUUGGCACCUCGAUGUCGGCUCAUCACAUCCUGGGGCUGAAGUAGGUCCCAAGGGUAUGGCUGUUCGCCAUUUAAAGUGGUACGCGAGCUGGGUUUAGAACGUCGUGAGACAGUUCGGUCCCUAUCUGCCGUGGGCGCUGGAGAACUGAGGGGGGCUGCUCCUAGUACGAGAGGACCGGAGUGGACGCAUCACUGGUGUUCGGGUUGUCAUGCCAAUGGCACUGCCCGGUAGCUAAAUGCGGAAGAGAUAAGUGCUGAAAGCAUCUAAGCACGAAACUUGCCCCGAGAUGAGUUCUCCCUGACUCCUUGAGAGUCCUGAAGGAACGUUGAAGACGACGACGUUGAUAGGCCGGGUGUGUAAGCGCAGCGAUGCGUUGAGCUAACCGGUACUAAUGAACCGUGAGGCUUAACCUU
rnacentral:rRNA from 1 species